rnacentral:lncRNA from 1 species
CCUCAUUUUUGGGGAAAAUGUGAAAAUGGGCAUGUGUGGUGCAAAACUGAUUUUUAAAACACUUCUACAGGAAAAUUCUAGGGAUCAGGCAAAGGUUCAGGGUCAUAAUUAUGUUAUUUUUAUCAUAUAUUUUCAAAUUCUGAUGGUGAUUUAUAUACUUUUUGUGGAUAUAUUGAGAAAAUCAACUUUUCAUUUUUCUGAUCUCUGAAAAUUUAUACCCCGCUUUGUACACAAUUAUAUAUAGGAAGCAUUGAAUGCAUGCUAUUUUUUAAAUCGAUCUAACACAAAACUUACUUAUUCAAAAAGUAUUGUCUUUAUUUCAAAAAAUAGAAAAAGAUUCUUAGUUUCCAUUCCUUUGCAAUUCCAUAAUGCAAAAAGUGGAUAAAAUGGUGAAAUUCUACUACCGAAAACAUAUAUAUUUGCCUAUAUUUCUUUUAUUUACUUUAUGUUAGAGCGCCCUCUACUGACCACAAUCCACAAACUAACUAUACAACAACUAUUACGAAACGGUAAACAAAUUUGGUGCAUCGGGGUUUUUUUUGGCUCAAAGUUAUACUCCUCGUUUACUUGGCACGAUUACCGUUUGUUUUUAUUGAUUAUGGUUUUAUACAUACGCAUUCUGAGAUGUUCGAACUUGCCUUUGAAGAAUUUUCAGUUCGAACUGUGCUGUGAUCAGGUGAUCGGAUAUUUAACGUACCGAUAACUGAGACGGAAAUAGCAUGAGAAGGCAGCCGAAGCUCCGGGCAUGAUCGAGAUGUUGGUGCAUACAGUGGUAAUGAAAAGAAAAUUGGCAACCAGUCAUCUACAAGACGCUGCAUUCAUAUAUACUGUAUGGAAAGGAACAAGAAAAUGGAGGUAGUUUGUCACCUUAAUUGAAGUGCAGUCGACAUAUAGCCGAGUUUACAGUUGACAGUUUAUAUCUUAUGGGUAGAGAAUUUGAACUAAUAAGGAAAGUCCCUGCAGGAAACAAAUCAGGUAUGAUGGCCGUGAUGAGAUAGUGCUGAAAUCUGCGACUAUUUCAAGCAGUCUUGCCUGUCCAGCAUUUACAGACAUGACAUUUGCAGCUCUAUCCAUAGUCAGUGUAGUGAUGGAACCCAUUCAUUUAUACACCUUUUCUGCAUAUGUUUGAAGCAAGAAGCACCUGUUGGACAGAACACAGUAAGCCUGUAAUGUCAAGGGCUAUGAGAGUUGAUUCUUCCAUCACAGCACUGCACCUAGAGGUUGUAACCUUUCUGGCAGACCACACUUUCUACUCGACACCUUUCUUCCAUCACAGCACUGCACCUAGAGGUUGCAACCUUUCUGGCAGACCACACUUUCUACUCGACACCUUGUCUGCACAUGUGUUAAGCAAGAAGCACCUGUUGGACAGAACACAGUAAGCCUGUAAUGUCAAGGGCUAUGAGAGUUGAUUCUUCCAUCACAGCACUGCACCUAGAGGUUGUAACCUUUCUGGCAGACCACACUUUCUACUCGUGUCAGUUUCACAUACAUACUCAACCAUGAGGGAGAUAUACCUUGCAGACAAUCAACUGAUGCAAUUCUGGUUGAUCUUACAAAUAUCAUUAUACAGGUAGAAGUUAAAGGAGAAUGAAACCAUUGGAACAAGAUAGCUUGUGUGAAAACAGAAAAAGCAAAGAAACAGAUCAACGAA